rnacentral:rRNA from 1 species
AGUGAACGCUGGCGGCAUGCCUUACACAUGCAAGUCGAACGGUAACACCACUUCGGUGGCCGACGAGUGGCGGACGGGGGCGUAAUACAUCGGAACGUGCCGAGUACUGGUGGAUAACUACUCGAAAGAGUAGCUAAUACCGCAUAAGAUCUAAUGAUGAAAGCGGGGGACCUCCGGGCCUUGCGCUACUUUAGCGGCUGAUGGCAGAUUAGGUAGGUGGUGGGAUAAAAGCUGACCAAGCCGACGAUCUGUAGCUGGUCUGAGAGGACGACCAGCCACACUGGGACUGAGACACGGCCCAGACUCCUACGGGAGGCAGCAGUGGGGAAUUUUGGACAAUGGGCGCAAGCCUGAUCCAGCAAUGCCGCGUGCGGGAUGAAGGCCUUCGGGUUGUAAACUGCUUUUGUACGGAACGAAAAGCAGUCUUCUAAUACCGGAGGGUCCUGACGGUACCGUAAGAAUAAGCACCGGCUAACUACGUG